GAAAUAUAAUUUUAAGCUGCUAACUUAAUUCUUAGUGAUUAAUUUCAUUAAUAUUUCU
rnacentral:tRNA from 7 species